rnacentral:tmRNA from 2 species
GGGCUUGUACUGGUUUCGACGGGGGUUUUGAAGGUAGGAUAGCCAUCCGUGGACCGUGGCCACGUUAAAAAACGGAAACUAAAUAUAAACGCUGAAGAUAAUUUAGCAUUAGCAGCCUAGUUGCUGCUUGUCGGCCUUAAGUAUCCCGCUGCUUAAGAAUCCGGCAUCGACUCUGCGGGGCACUUUGUUUCCAAAGCUUUGAGGGAAUAAAAGAAUUUAUGAAGCUACUGAAGGUAUGAGCCUGUCUUUCGGCGCAUACCGGAGGGAAUGACAGUAGAAAGAAUAUGAUGGGAGAAGUCUUAUUGGACGGGCUUUCGGACAGGGGUUCGAUUCCCCUCAGGUCCACUU